rnacentral:lncRNA from 1 species
AUCAUCACAAUUAUAAUUGAAGAAUAAGAAAGCAUCAAUCUAAAUUUACAAUCCAAACUCCCGUAUUGAAUUGAUGGAAAGAUGAUGAAAUCUUGUGUCUUGUAGUCUCCAAUGCUCUCCCAAAGCUUCCAAGGUCAAAAGUCCAUUCAAAAACGGCUUUUGAUGUAUUUAUACCAUGUAGGAGUGGGCCCAGGUGAAAUUACCUUUUUCUAGCCGAAACAGGACAAAUACUAUAAGAAAAUCACACAGGCGCGCCACCCCUCGCGCCGCCCCAUGCGGGGCGCUUGUGGGGAAGUUCAGAGAGUAAGUUCUGAUAGACAGCAUCAAAAUUUAGUGUCGCGCCGCCCCAUGCGGUGCGGUAGUGCAAGAUUUCUAGAGUGUUUCAUUUUCUUGAUUUUUGAUAUCCAUACUCGGCUCCCGACCCUCCGAACACGAUCCCCAUUUAAUCCCUUGGACUUUUACUCGGACUUUAAAGCUCUAACUUAUUCAAUUUAGCUCCGGAAUAUCUUUUUAACUCGAAAUCACUUCCUACAAGGCAUAAAAUACACAAUAAGUACAAUACACUAACAUUCAACUCAAACACAAGUAAAACACAAUAAUUAGAGUAUAAACUACGACUAAAACACGUGAUUCUAGCCUACCAUCAUUGAUACAUCAUAUGUUUCCACGCCUUGAUGCCACAAUAACUUUAACUCAUCAAUCAAAGGCUGUAUGUAAACAUCAAUCAAUUAGACAUCAAUCAAUACAAGUUAGAAAUAAAUAUGGACUUGCCAUACAUAACUCGGGUGGAAGAUUAUAUGGUGUAACAAACACCGGCCAAUAUGAAUAUGGUACAGCAGAGAUUGCGAAUGGAGUGAAUCCAUCAACGCAUAAUCCCAACCUAAUGUUCCUUCAUUCACUAGCAAAGUUUGAGAACACCCUAUCGAAAUGCUUCCAUGCUUCUCUAUCUGAAGGAUGACAUAUAACACCAUUUGGCCUUGUAUGCUCAUAAUGCCAUCUCAUAUGAGGAGUGAAGCUCAUUGAUGCAUACAAUCUCUUUAACCUUGGUAUAUGGGGUAAGUAGUGUAUCGCCUUCACUGGGAUCUUAUUCUUUUCAUCAUUUGGGGCAUCCUUGUAAUGGGGCUUGUUACAAAAUUUACAGUUCUCUAAAGAUGCAUCAUCCUUAUAGAAUAACAUGCAACCAUUCUCACAACAAUGAAUCAUCUCUGAUGAAAGACCCAACUUGGAAACUAAUGUUUUGCCGUGUGGAAAUAUUUGGGUAGGUCAAUGUUACUCAGAUUAAGUUCAUUCAUAAGCCCAAUGAUAGAAUUCAUACUCAAUUGAGAAAUAGAACUAUCUGACUUCAUUUGAAGUAAUCGAACAGCACCAAACAACUUGGAAUGCACUGAGCCUUCAUACAACGGAUAACUAGCUUCCUCUAACUCUUUGAAGAACUUCUUAGCCUCAUCAUUUGAUUCAGAUUGAGCCCCCGGGAAUAUCUCAAAGACAUCCUUCAUCAUGUAAUUGAAUCUAGAAUUUUUAACAUUAUUCUCCACUACGGGACUACCCUCCUCACCACCAAAAUAAUUAUGAAAAUCAACAUCAUUUACGCUAUCAAGAUUCUUCCCAUGAGCAGUCCACACAUAAUAAUUUUCCAUAAAUCCUUUUUUUUUUAAAUAUGACAUGUAACACCAUCUUCUCCCAAUAACUUAACACACUUGCAUUUCACACAAGGGCACAUAAACGUUCCUUCAAUACGUAAAUCAUCAUGUGUCCUUGCCUUAGCAAUAAAUCCAGCACCCCCUUCUUUAAAUUCAUCCCUUAACCCCACACGAUUAGGAUGAUUCAUAUUAUACUUAUAUCUACGAUACGCAAAUGCCAUAUACACAAACAAAAAAACUUAAAAUUUAUAAGAUAUUUAUAAUUUUUAGUUUAUUUAAAGUAAUUAAUAGGUUAAGCUAAUUCGAAUGUUCAUUUUUUCAAAUUUACUUAUUAUUUUCCAACAUACUUUAAUUAAUAUAUUAUAUUCUUUUAAACAUUAACAUUCGAAAUCUUACAUUUAUCCCUAUUCUAUGCUAUAUAAGUCUCUCAAAAUAUAAAUUCCUUAAAUUACUUCUCAUAUAUUCAUAAAGUCCACACAUGACUUUAAUUAAUAUAAUAUAUUUGUCAAAUAAAAAACUAGUGAAAAUUAAAAAUGAAUUAAACAAUAUUAUUGAAAUUUGACUAAUUUUGGACCUGAUCUUGCUUAUUAAUAAUAUAGUCAUACUUUGAUUUCUCUCCAAAAUAUCUCUCAAAUUAUUCAAACUAUAUAAGGCAUGAAGUGAUUAAAAACACUUCUUUCUUCUUCUAUUAUUCUUUCCAACAAAGGACAAGCUUCCUUCUCCCAAAAAUUAACCUAUCAAUACUAACUAAUCAAACAACCUAAUUAAUAAGUCACAUUCUUAUUAAAGUUACUUAUCCAAUCACUUAUUAUAUUUUUAAGUAUAAUACUUGGAUGAUUUCAGUAAUAUAAGUUAUAUAUAUGCCUAACUCCUUAAAAAAUAUAUCACUUGACUAUCUAAGCUUAUUAAUUUGAUGAAUACGUACCAAUUUUAGGAGUUAAUUUUUUGAUAACUACUAAAUUUCGUGUAAACUACAUAAGUCUCAUGAUCGUAUGACCCUUAAUUUAACUUAAAUUAGAUUUCAUUAGUUACAUUAAACUAUUAAAAUAAAAUGACAUAGAGCUUUCAACUAUCUUAAAGCAUGCUAUGUAAAUAAAUGUAAAUCUUAUAAUACUUGGAUGAUUUCAAUAAUAUAAGUUAUAUAUAUGCCUAACUCUUUAAAAUAUAUAUCACUUGACUAUCUAAGCUUAUUAAUUUGAUGAAUACGUUCCAAUCUUAGGAGUUAAUUUUUUGAUAACUACUAAAUUUCGUGCAAACUACAUAAGUCUCAUGAUCGUAUGACCCUUAAUUUAAGUUAAAUUAGAUUUCAUUAGUUACAUUAAACUAUUAAAAUAAAAUGAUAUAGAGCUUUCAACUAUCUUAAAGCAUGCUAUGUAAAUAAAAGUAAAUCUUAGAUUCACUAAUUAAUGCACAUUGUUAAUAAGAUACACCAUCAUCAAAUAAACUUCCAUAUUACUCUCCAAUUUAUAAAUAAUGCACAAUAUUGUUAAUAAGGUUAUGAUUAAAUUUUAGAGAUGCACGGAGAAUCAAAUUAGAGUAAAUCUAAAUAGAAAAACUAGACAUCUAAGCCACAGUAUUGAAUUCAAUUUUAGGGAUGCACAAAUUAAAAAACCCAAUUAGGAGGGCGAAUUAGGUACUAAAAAAGAAAAAGAAAAAGAAAUUACUAACCUCAAUGUUAAUGUCGUCGCCGCCGCCGGAAGCUACCGCCUGUAAGAAGAAACCUUCGAAUGAGAGGGAUGGAGAGAGAAGGAAAAAAAAAAGGAAUGGAGAAAGAAAUAGAGAGGGGUGUAAGGAGAGUGAUGGAAAGUGACACUUACUAGGUUGGAAUCGUCGGAAUCGCCGGAGGGGUGGAAGAAGAAUAUGUUAGAGAAGGGAUAGAAAUGUUAGAGAAGGGAUAGAAGGUUUG